rnacentral:tRNA from 1 species
GGAGGGGUGCCGGAGUGGUUGAACGGGGCGGUCUCGAAAACCGUUAGGGGCGGUUUCGUCCCUCGAGGGUUCGAAUCCCUCCCCCUCCG